CCUACGGGGGGCAGCAGUGAGGAAUAUUGGUCAAUGGACGCAAGUCUGAACCAGCCAUGCCGCGUGCAGGAAGACGGCUCUAUGAGUUGUAAACUGCUUUUGUACGAGGGUAAACGCAGAUACGCGUACCUGUCUGAAAGUAUCGUACGAAUAAGGAUCGGCUACCUCCGUGCCAGCAGCCGCGGUAAUACGGAGGAUUCAAGCGUUAUCCGGAUUUAUUGGGUUUAAAGGGUGCGUAGGUGGUCGGAUAAGUUAGAGGUGAAAUCCCGAGGCUCAACAUCGGAAUUGCCUCUGAUACUGUGCGGCUAGAGAGUAGAUGCGGCAGGCGGAAUGUGUGGUGUAGCGGUGAAAUGCAUAGAGAUCAAACAGAACACCGAUUGCGAAGGCAGCUUACCAGGCUACAUCUGACGUUGAGGCACGAAAGCGUGGGGAGCGAACAGGAUUAGAUACCCUUGUAGUC
rnacentral:rRNA from 1 species